AAGAAAGAAUGGUGGAUUUGCAAGGCAGCUCAGCAGGUUGAGCCAUGAGUUCAGGUAUCUGGAAGCAAUAAGACAAGAAUGUUUGGAAAAAAUGCAUCAGAAAGGAUAGUGUUUUUGCCAUCCUCUUUGUUUGAAUCGAGAAGGAAGAGAUAUUAACAGAGGAAGCUAGAGUUUGCUGGACUGAGAUAGAGCUGGUUGAAUCUUGCCGUCUUCCUCAGGUUGAAGUUACAACAGAGUCAAACAUCAACGCUCACAUCAAUUCAGAUUCUGAGGGUAAAGGUGGUAUACACACUGCUUUCCACACUGAAUUCUGAGAAGGCACAUCAUCCCAGACAAAACUAUGAUUACAAGACAAGUGAUCUUCCCUGACUCAGCAGCAAAAAAUUCUGAAGUACACCCAAUUGGAGUUUGGAAAUUAGCAAAGAGAAUCCAAACACUGCAGAGAGUAUCUAGAAGUCUUCUAAUAAGCAGUCUAGAACAAGUGCUUAGAAGACAGAGGGUAGUGAUCUCAGCAGAUGUUCAUAUGGAAGGGUGAUAAUAGCCAAGAACCACGACUCUCUAAUUUUACUUCCCAGCAGGUAUUCAGUGCAUAAUAGUUCCUACUUAGAAGUAUCAUAUUUGCCCAAACACAAGGUGAUACCCAAAAUGAGGUAAGUUUCCUGUUUUCUCAGUGAGAUCUUUUGUUGUUGUUGUUGUUGUUGUUGUUUUGUUGUCGAUGUUGUUGUUUUUGGUUUUGGUCUUUUUGUUUUUGAGACAGGGUCUGGCUCUGUCACCCAGGCUGGAGUGCAGUGGCACAAUCUUGGCCCUUUGCAGCCACCACCUCCUAGGGUCAAGGGAUCCUCCCACCUCAGCCCCCAUAUUAGCUGGCACUACAGGCAUGCACCACCAUGCCCAGCUAAUUUUUGUAUUUUUUGUAGAGAUGGGGUUUCAACAUGUGUCAAACUCCUGAGUUCAAAUGAUCCACCUACCUCAGCCUCCCAAAGUUCUGGGAUUAUAGGCCUAAGCCACAGUGCCAGUGAGAUAAUUUUUUUAAAAUGCAUUCUGGUCAGUUUGAACAUGUAAAUAUAAAUUUUUAUGGAUAUACAAAAAAGAACUACUAAAUAUUCACUUAUAACAAAGAUUAAUUCAUGAAUUACACAUGCACAUUUAUAAUCACAUGUCAUAAUUUUCCAUUCUCAUAUUUCACUAAACUGUAUAUCCAAUUCUUUAUUCACUUUAUUCACUGCCCUGAAUGACCAUCUGUGGAAGUCCUACCAGGUGCUAUCUACUCUGUAUGGGAUUUCUCAUUUACCCCACAGAAGAGGUUUCUAAGAAAAGCAUUAUGAGUUCCCUUUCACAGAUGACCAAGGGUAGGCUGACAAAGGCUGAAAAGGGGUUCCAAUGUCAGAUGAAAUAAGGGGUAGGAAUGAGAUUCCGGUUCUGACUGUCAGCACAAUAUGCCAUUUAAUCUCAAUAGGAACAGUAUUACCCACAAGGGGCUAAAACUUGUUCUAGGAUAGUAGAAGAGGGGGAGUAGACAUUAUAAUAGUUUGUGGCCCUGCAAAGAUUCACAAUACAUAAACAAAUAGACACUAUAUUUGUGGUAUUAAAAUGUCAAGUUCUGGGCAGAAAGAGAUCGAUAAGGAAAAAUGUCUGAAAAGCCUCUUCAGAGGACCAAUAAUGAAAGAAGUCUGAGAAACACUGCAUUUACCCAGGGACUUCUGCUGACGAUGCCUCAUCGAGUAACGAACUCUGGUGGCACAUUACCAUUUCUGAGGUCUAAUACUGCAUUCCACAUCACAUCACUCUCACUUCCAUCUCAGGUUCUUGAAAUGUGCAUAUUUUGAAUCUUGUGCAACAAGAUAUAGCAAGCUCCAAGUGGUACUGGAGCUCAUAUAUCAAGUUCCUUCUGUAAAACUUUAGAAUAGUUGCUUUUCUUCUAUCUGCAAUUAGUGUACAUUUUUGGUCUCUUCAACAUAACCACUUAUGCAUUUUCAUUUUAAAGAUUUUUUUAAAGCUUACUUACUAUAAGCAUUAACUCACAAUUAUGAAGUAAUACCCCCAUGAAACUAAGAUAAAUCUGUGUUAAAUUUAUUUGCCCAUUUUUUUAAUCAACUGUCAGGCGACCUCCAUAAACAUCCGGAUUGUUACUUUCAGGCUUAUGUGUCUCUGCAAAAUUAGUAACAGAAGCGGGGAGGGCGGGGAGAGAGAGAAAGAGAGAAUGAGGGGAUGAGAGAGAGGGAGACAGAGAGACGCUCUCCAUAAUAUAAAGGAAUUUGUGAGGAAUGCAAAGUAGGAUAAGUCCCAUUUUUCUGAGCAUAAGAGUAAAGAAAAAAAUCUGCCUUGUAUUUGGGCACAUAUAAUGAUGUCUUCUCUCCACCAGUCAUGUAUAAAAAUGGGCAAAGGAAUGAAGAAAAGAUAAAAUAUUAAAUUUGAGUCAUUUUUUAAGUCUGAACUGAAGAGGAAUCACUAAUUUUUCUCAGAAGUCACUAAAUUAAAUAUUUUGCUAUUAGGCAAAGUAGAGGCUUUAUAUACAAAUUAUGACACUAUGGAAAAAUGUUACAUUUUUCACAAAUGAGUGUAUGGUUGUAAAAUCUGUCACUAUAUAUACUGGAGUGAUUAUAAUAAAGAAAUUAAUAAUAUUU
rnacentral:lncRNA from 1 species